UACGGAAGGCAGCAGUGGGGAAUAUUGCACAAUGGGCGCAAGCCUGAUGCAGCCAUGCCGCGUGUAUGAAAAAGGCCUUCGGGUUGUAAAGUACUUUCAGUCGUGAGGAAGGUGUUAAGGUUAAUAACCUUAGCAAUUGACGUUAGCGACAGAAGAAGCACCGGCUAACUCCGUGCCAGCAGCCGCGGUAAUACGGAGGGUGCGAGCGUUAAUCGGAAUUACUGGGCGUAAAGGGCACGCAGGCGGUUAAUUAAGUUGGAUGUGAAUCCCCGGGCUUAACCUGGGAAUGGCAUUCAAGACUGGUUAGCUAGAGUCUUGUAGAGGGGGUAGAAUUCCAUGUGUAGCGGUGAAAUGCGUAGAGAUGUGGAGGAAUACCGGUGGCGAAGGCGGCCCCUGGACGAAAGACUGACGCUCAUGUGCGAAAGCGUGGGGAGCAAACGAGGGAUUAGAUACC
rnacentral:rRNA from 1 species